UACGUAGGGGACGAGCGUUGUCCGGAAUUACUGGGCGUAAAGGGCGCGCAGGCUGCGUUACAAGUCAGCUGUUAAAUGCAUGGGCUUACCCCAUGAGUGCGGUUGAAACUGUAGUGCUAGAGUACUGUAGAGGCAAGCGGAAUUCCCAGUGUAGCGGUGAAAUGCGUAGAUAUUGGGAGGAACACCGGUGGCGUAGGCGGCUUGCUGGACAGUAACUGACGCUGAGGCGCGGAAGCCAGGGGAGCAAACGGGAUUAGAUACCCCGGUA
rnacentral:rRNA from 1 species